rnacentral:rRNA from 1 species
UACGUAGGGUGCGAGCGUUGUCCGGAAUUAUUGGGCGUAAAGAGCUUGUAGGCGGCCAUGUAGGUCCGGUGUGAAAACUCGAGGCUUAACCUCGAGAUGUCAUCGGAAACCAUUUGGCUAGAGUCCGGAAGAGGAAAGUGGAAUUCCUGGUGUAGCGGUGAAAUGCGCAGAUAUCAGGAAGAACACCAAUGGCGAAAGCAGCUUUCUGGGACGGUACUGACGCUGAGACGCGAAAGCGUGGGGAGCGAACAGG